CUUUGAUCAUUCUAUUUCUGUUGGGACUUCGUUGCAAUUUUAAGCGCAAUUAUUUACAUUGUUGUACCUUGCUAGGAAAACCAUUGUUGAGCUGCAACAAUUGCAGGAGCAUGCACGCUUCAAAUUCGGGUUGGGUGCGGUCACAAUCCUACGACCGCACUCAGUCACUCGCAUCUCGACCGUCCAGUCAAGAUUGAAUAGACUAGAUUUUAAGUAUGAUAUUUUAGUUUUAAAAAAGAAUCAAAAUCUGCUUUAAAAUCUUAACCAUCAAAUCUUGAUUGGGCGACCAGAUGCGUGUGACUGCAUGCAAUUCCACUGCAUCCAAUUUAAAUCCACACGCUUAAUAUAAAAUACCAAAUACAGGUUGCCAACCUUCCUUCUCCUUUCAUGACCUAUCAAAAAACAAAGAAAAUUCUUUAUUUAAUUGGUCAUGAAUAUCUGAAUAGGACAAACCAUCCCGUGGAUCUCUUUGUUACAUUGUUAGUGGAGCUUAAAUUGUUGCUAAAUCAGAUCCUGAUAAAAAAAAUGGGAAGCAGGAGCAAUAAUAUAGGUUAUUGAAAUCUAAAGGUACGUACAAGCCAUUAAAAUCAGCUUGUUGGUUUUGAGUGUGUGUACAAUAGAACAAAUUGACAAUACAUAACUAACUGUUGAUUAGUGUGAUAUGACUCUGAUGAGCUUAAUUUGAUUGAAAGUAAUAUAUACUUGAUAUCUUAUUUCAAGAAAAAUUGAUCAA